UCCGGUCCUCGGUAGUGGUCCCCGGAGUUCGACGCUCCGAGGGCCACGGUCGAAGACCGUC
rfam:Cellulomonas flavigena DSM 20109, complete genome.